CACAGGCAGCUGGAGCAUUGAGUUCCUAAAAUACCUCGGCCAGUAUCAAACAGGAAUUGGCCUCGGAAAUAAUAAGGUCCAUCAUGGCCUACCAAGGAGAUGUUCAAACACCCAAGCGAUAUGUUAGACCAAAGACAGGAUUAGGAGAGAACUAUUACCACUUAUUUGUGUGGCAGUAUGGUACCAGUGGUGCCACCGACUCUGAAUUCCUGGCUUGUUCUGAUGAAAAAUGGCAGAAGGGGCACUGGAAUUUAAUCAAAUAUGCCAUUGUACUGAGGAUUGACCUGCAAUACAUGGAAAACAUGUAACACAACUGCAAAGCCAGCCUGGAAGGGAAAAUAAGUACAAGAUGGAAACAAAGUGGAACAACAUGUUCAGUGGAACAACUUGAUAUUUGAUGACUUACAUACUGAUGUGAAGUUGCAGAUAAUAGUCAACUGUUGGCCAGUGGAUUAGUAAAUACAAAAAGUAUCAUUAAACCCUCGAUGCCUGAAGCAAUACAAUCUGAAGCUGGACAUUUACUUUACAACCUAGAUAGAGGCAGACUCCUUAAUUAUGCUUGGUAGUGCUACUCAGUGGUAACCCUCUUGCAGUCAACUUUUAAAUAGUUAAAUAUAUUUUUCAGAGUAUUUGAGUGAACUUUACAUUUAAUCCGGACACAUAUAUUUCUUCACUGUGGAUCAUUUUAACAAUGGAAAGUGCAUAUUUAUAUAUAUUCAUGCAACUGUGUGGUAAAGGAUUCAUCUACGCUUAAAACGGUUUUCAUAAGAAGGAGAGAAGAUAACAGAAACAGAAACAGAUGGAAUUGGCACACCAAAUAAAGAAAAAUGAUUUUGUUUAGUUCAAUUUAAAAUACUUAAGUCCUAAUAGGGCACAUGCCAUAUUGUAAAUUGGGCUCUUUAAAAUGUGAAAAGGUGAAUGUGGUCUAGAGGAUAAGCCUAGGUGUCAGCCUCAAAUCCAAGGUUGUGGGUUGACGGUUCAGGCCCCACCGAGAUACUUUCUGAUGGCCUCAGAAAAAGGAUGUCUGUACUAGUUUCUACUAAGGCUACAGACUUGAGAGUGAUUAUGCUGAAAGCUUGCGUAGCAAUCUAGCUGAAAUGAUUAGGUUUAAAAUAAGAUACUUGCUGACUUUCAAACAGUUUUUUUCCAUUUGUGUUGAUUUGUUUUUCAGUCUGUUAGAAUGUUUAUUAGAAGUGAUGAGCAUUGCUUACUGCAACUAAUAUUCAUUUUUAGCUCGACUAUUUGAAGAAUAGGUGGGCUAUACUACUCGCCCCGGCGUCGGCGUCCGGUUUAAGUUUUAGGGCAAGUUGGGAUUUUCACUUAUAAUUCCAAUACCCUUCAUUCAAUUGUCUUAAUACUUCACACAGUUGUUCAGGGCCAUAAUAUGAUGAGGUUAGAUAACUCCAUAUUAUUCUUUACACAGAUUAUGGCCCAUGAUUUACUAUGGAACUUAGGUUAAAGUUUUAGGGCAGGUUGGGAUAUUUAUAAAUAACUUCUAUACCCUUUAUUCAAUUGACUUUAUACUUCACACAGUUGUUCAGGACCAUCACACAAUGAGGUUACAUAACCCCAUAUUAUCCUUAAUACAAGUUAUGGCCCCUGAUUGACUUAGGUUGAAGUUUUAGGGCAGGUUAAAGUUUAAGGGCAAGUUGGGAUUUUCACUGAAAACUCCAAUACCAUUCAUUCAAUUGACUUAAUACUUCACACAGUUGUUCAGAGCCAUCACAUUCUGAGGUUAGAUAACUCCAUAUUAUCUUUUAUACAAAUUAUGGCCCCUGAUUGACUAUGUAACUUAGGUUAAAGUUUUAGGGCAGGUUGGAAUAUUUAUUUAUUACAUCUAUACCCUUCAUUCAAUUGACUUAAUACUUCACACAAUUGUUCAGGACCGUUACCCAAUGAGGUUACAUAACUCCAUAUCCUUAAUACAAGUUAUGGCCCCUGAUUGACUUAAAGUUAAGGUUAAAGUUUUAGGCAAGUAAAAGUUAAGGGCAAGUUGGGAUUUUAAUAAAAAAAACUUCUAUACCGUUCAUUCAAUGCUAUUAAUAAAAUUCAAAAUUAUUUACGACCAUCUUACAACAAGAACAUAACUCCAUUUUAACCCUAAAUACAAAUUAUGGCCCUUGAUUUUUUUUACUCUUUUUUUAAUUUCUUUUGAAAGGCAUAUUUGCAUAUUCUUAACCACAUUUUCAUAUGGGAAAUCAAGUUAUUUGAAAUACUUGCGUCAUUGUUCGGGCGGGCUGGUGGGAGGGCAGCAUCAAAGUCACCUUAUGUAUCAAAUUAUUUUAGUUAGGUUUGACAUAAAGAGACCAAACUUGGUAAUAUUACAUCGUUAUUGUAUUCACUUCUAAGUCAAAGCGGCGUAGUCGAGCACGCUGUCUUAUGACGGCUCUUGUCUUUAUUAAGUUGAAUUUAACGCACAAAACAUGACUUGUGAUUUUACUGAUACAAUUUUAGCUCACCAGAGCAGGAUGUGCUCAAGGUGAGCUAUUGUGAUCGGUCUUCGUCCAUCAUCUGUCCGUCAACAAUUGCUUACCAAACAUCUCCUCUGAAACUACCUGGCGAAAUUCAGUGAAACUUCACUGGAAGCUUCCUUGGGUGUUCCUCUAAAAAAAUACAACAGAGGGUUACGAUUGAUUAACAACAAGAACAACAACAAAAUGGCCUAUUUCCUGUUUUGCUUUAAAAAACAGCUCCUCUAAAACUACCUGAACAAUUCAAUGAAACUUUACAGAAAGCUUCCUUUGGUGACCUUCUACAAAAUACAAAAAGGGGUCAUAAGUGAUCAGCAAUAACAACAACAACAACAACAACAGUAACAACAGUAACAACAACAAAAUGGCUGACUUCCAGUUUUACUUCAAAACAUCUCUUUUGAAACUACCACUCCAAAUUCAAUAAAACUUUACAGGAAGUUUCCUUGGAUGACCCUCUACAAAUAUACAACAAGGGGUCACGAUUGAUCAACAACAACAACAAAAUGGCCAACUUCCUGUUUUGCUUAAAAAAACAUAUCCUUUAAAACUACCGUCCAAAUUCAAUGAAACUUUACAGGAAGCUUCCUAGGGUAACCUUGUACAAAAAUACAACAAGGGUCGUGAUUGAUCAACAACAACAACAACAACAAUCUGAUGUUAAAAUCUUUUUUUAUUUAUGUAAAGUUUACUCUUAAGCAAGGGCAGCAAACCUUGAUCUAUGGUCUCCCUUUCUGUUGAACAGUGUAUUGUCUAUUUUUAGUUCUUCUAUUUUUAGUAACAAGGGAUUAAAUGUUAUAUUUUUACUUUUUUAGGUAACAAAAGCACGAAGUGCUCAAGGUGAGCUUUUGUGAUCGGUCUUUGUCCGGCCGUCAGUCAGUCAGUCCGUCCGGCCGUCAACAAUUGCUUAAAUAAUUUCUCCUCUGAAACUACCUGGCUAAAUUUAAUGAAACUUCCCAGGAAGCUUCCUUAGGUGACCAUCUACUAAAACACAACAAGGGAUCACGAUUGAUCAACAACAACAACAACAAAAUGGCAGACUUUUUGUUUUGCUUAAAAAGCAUCUCCUCUGAAACUACCGCUCCAAAUUCAAUGAAACUUUACGAGAAGCUUCCUUUGGUGACUCUCUAUAAAAACACAACAAGGAGUCACGAUUGAUCAACAACAACAACGACAGCAACAACAACAAAAUGGCUGACUUUUUUAGCUUUAAAAAUCAUCUCCUCUUAAACUACAGUUCUAAAUUCAAUGAAACUUUACAGGCAGCUUCCUUGUGUGACCUUCUACAAAAAUACAACAAGGGGUCACUAUUAAUCAACAACAACAACAAUUACAGCAACAACAACAAAAUGGCUAUUCUAUUCUAUUAAACUUUACAGAAAGCUUCCUUAAGUGACCCUCUAUAAAAAUACACCAAAGAUCAUGAUUGACCAACAACAACAAAAUGGACAAAAUGUUAAAACUGAUAAUUAUGUAAAGUUUACUCUUGAAACAAGGGCAGCAAGUCUUGCUAUAUGGUCUCCCUUUUUGAUGGAGAUUCCAUUUUUUUCUAUUUUAGUAACAAGGGAGUAGAUUUUAAAUAUUAUUAAGUCUUCAACAUAGUCACUUAAAAUUAUUGCUCAUUUUUUAGGUUCAUAGAUUCAAAUAAUUAUUAUAAACUUUAUUCUUUAGAAGGAAUUUCAUUUUUACUAAAUAAUAAAUUUAAUAAUCAGGCUUUCCCAUUGAACUUCAUGUAGAUCAUUCUAUGCUAAAUCUUAUCUUCUGUGUGGAUAGUGAAUACGCCUUUAUGGAUUUAAAGAAAAUUUGGUUUUGAACAUGUGAAGGAAGGUGAUGUUGACAUAGAUGGAAGAAGCAAUGAUAUAAGUGGAAGGUGCUUAAUGUGUUCUGAUAUUUGUUUAUUAGAGCUUAAGGCACUUUAUUGAUUUUAUUGGAUGGUGCUUUGUUUGUUGUUUGUGUAUCUAUACUAAAACUCUUUCAGUGUGCAAGCAAUUUAACAUAGUUUUGUUAGUGUGCAGGCAAUUGAACGAAGGCAUGUGUGUGUGCAGGCAAUUGAACAAAGUCCUGUCAGUGUGCAGUCAACUGAAAAAAGUCCUGUCAUUGUGCAGGUAUCUUUACCAAGUGCUGUCAGUGUGCAGUCAAUUAUCAAGUCCUGUCAGUGUGCAGGCAACUGAACAAAAUCCUGUCAGUAUGCAGAUAUGAGAAUCAAAUUCUGUCAGUGUGUAGUCAAUCAUCAAGUCCUGUCAGUGUGCAGGCAACUGAAUGAAAUCCUGUCAGUGUGAAGUCAAUCACCAAGUCCUGUCAGUGUGCAGGAAACUGUGACAAGUCCUGUCGGUGUGCAGGCAACUGUGACAAGUCCUGUCAUUGAUUAUCCAGGCAACAUAUGUUGUUAGAUCAGUAUAUUUUUCAAUAUUCUUUGAGAACAAAUAUCAAGCUUUAUUGAUUACAACGGUUAAACUCUUUUACUCAGGUGAGCGAUUUAAGGACCAUCAUGGCCCUCUUGUUAUUUCAUUGAUUGUAUGGGUGUAUUUUCUAAAAUCAUUAAAUGAUGUAAUAAAAGUUAU